GAUCAUGGCUCAGAUUGAACGCUGGCGGCAGGCCUAACACAUGCAAGUCGAACGGUAACAGAAAGCAGCUUGCUGCUUUGCUGACGAGUGGCGGACGGGUGAGUAAUGUCUGGGAAACUGCCCGAUGGAGGGGGAUAACUACUGAAAACGGUAGCUAAUACCGCAUAACGUCGCAAGACCAAAGAGGGGGACCUUCGGGCCGUCUUGCCAUCGGAUGUGCCCAGAUGGGAUUAGCUAGUAGGG
rnacentral:rRNA from 1 species